rnacentral:tRNA from 1 species
GGAAGAGUGCAGGAGUGGUUGAACUGGCAGUCCUGGAAAGACUGUGUACGGGUAACCGUACCGAGGGUUCGAAUCCCUCCUCUUCCGCCA